rnacentral:rRNA from 1 species
UCUUUUUGUAUUUAUAUAAGGUCGUGCCUGCCCCCUGAUAUAUGAUUGAAGGGCCGCGGUAUUUUGACCGUGCAAAGGUAGCAUAAUCAUUAGUUUUUUAAUUGGAAACUGGAAUGAAUGGUUUGACGAGACAAUAACUGUCUUAUAAUUAUAUAUUGAAUUUUACUUUUGAGUUAAAAGGCUCAAAUUUUUAUAAGGGACGAGAAGACCCUAUAGAUCUUUACAUUUAAUUAUUUAUAUUAAAUUGGUCGUUAAUUUUAUGUAUUUUAAUUAAUUUGUUUUGUUGGGGUGACAAGAGAAUAUAAAAGCUUCUUUAUAUUGAACUUUGAUGGAUGGUAAAAUGAUCCUUGUUUUGGGAAUUAAGAUUAAGAUACCUUAGGGAUAACAGCGUAAUUUUAUUGGAGAGUUCUUAUCAAUAAUGGAGAUUGCGACCUCGAUGUUGGAUUAAGAUUAAAUUAGGGUGCAGGUGCUUUAAAUUUUGGUCUGUGC